GAAACAAAAUAAAAACAUGCUAUUUGAACAAACUUUUUUAUAAAGAAUAAGUUGACUGAAAAGCAGUUUUAAAUAACAUCAACUCACAAAUGACUUUUAGAAGCCAAAUAAACAUUUCUAUUUUAGAGAAUAGUAUGUAAUACAUAACUUAAAAGCAUAUAGAACACAUAUUCCUACAUUCUUAAAAAUAAGAGAUUGUGAUUCCACAGAGAAUUUUUCAAAUAUCUAAAGUAUGUCCUGUUAAACCAACAAUUUGCUUCCAAACAGGAGUCUCUUUUGAGAAGCUAAAUAUUAAUUUUCAAACAACUAUUUCUCCAUUUGUUAACUGGAAUCAUUCAUAUUAAAACAAAGGUCUUUAUGUCAAUGUAUGUUAAUAUGGCUGAAGGCUCCAGCCCUGAGUUAUUUUUUUACUUCCUUAAAUUCAUAAUUACAACAUAUAUCAAUUUGAGGUAUCAUGACAAAAACAGAAACAAAAGACACAAUGGUAGAUGAGAAUCUAUCUCCCUGUGGAAGAGGCAAAAUUAGUGUGGACCUCAUUUUUCUGACCUAUAAAACUAGGAAGUAUAAUCACAUUACUUGCGACAAUUUUUCCUUCUAAAAUGCCAUGAAUUUGAAGGUAGACUUCAUGCCUUUCUCCAUCAUAACAAUAGAGUUAAGAAUAUUGAUUUUGGAGUCAGGCUGCCUGGUUACGAAUCCCAGCUCAGACAGUUAUUUUGUAAUCUUGGAAAAAAUACUUCACCUCUCUAUACUAAGUUUCCCCAUGUGUACGGUACUGAUCUCAUAGAGUUGUUAUGAGACUAACAUGGGUAAAUCACUUUAUAACAGUGGCUGAUACAAUGUUACACGAGUUUUCAAAUGAGAUAUCAUCACUCAUUGUUUGUGGGAAAAGAUUCUAACUAUGUCAUAUGAAUGAAGUAUGCCAUAUGCAAAGAUCAUAUCAUAUGGGAAGAUAUAUUAGGUUAAAUCGUCUAAUGAUUACAAAACACAAAGUGAGGUUUUUUUUGUUUGUUUUUUUUACAUUUAUCUUAGCUUCAUACAACGCAGAAAACAUUUGAAUAACAUUAGAUAAAUAGAUAUAAAUGAUUAUAAAUCUUUGUGGUUUAAAACAAUAAAACACUAUAAAAGAGUUUAAUUCAGACUAAUAAAAGUUUAACUACAACACUUGGAAAUGUAGCACAAUAUCUCCACCUAGUGGACACCUUAAAAAUUUUUACAGAUAGUGCUCAGCCUUUUUUUAUCACUGGCGGAAAACUUUUCAAAUAGAAGUAAUUUCACGAAUAUAGAGGGAUAAAAAAUAGAAAAUAAGUUAAACACUAUAUUACCAGUGCUCCAAAACAUCACCGCUAAAAUACAUUUUAGUAAGUUGUAUAACUCAAAUGUUUUUCUAAAACAGGGUGUAAUAGAGUCAAAUAGUAGUUUUGGUUUAGAAACUUAAAAUAUACCAAAGACAGCAUGUAAGUCAUCAGAAAUACUUGACCAUGACUUAGCAAUUAAUUUUUAAAAAUUAGCUGUAACAAAAUUUAGAAUUUAAAAAUUACAGAGCUUUAAAGAUGUCAGAUACCUUUAAAAGACAUUUGAACUACUUGCUAUCUAACUCUUGUGUAGUAUCUUUGAUAAAUAGAAAUCUUAUCUCCAAUGAAUGAGAAUCUUACUUUUUUUCUGGGCUUGUUUCCCUAAAAAGACUAAACAAUUAGAAGUUAUGCUUUUCAUGAUUUGCAAUCUAAUUGUUGACCUCUGAUUUACACUUCAGGCAAUACAGAAUUAAGUCCAAUCUUUCAAAUAAUUAUUCUUCAAGAGAGCUUAUCAAGUGAUAGAAUUUCCACUUAUCCAAAUUAAAUAUCCCACAUAAUUUUAGUCAUUUAUCUUACAACAAAAUUAUAAGGAGUUAUCAUGUUGUUCAUGCUCUUUUGAACAGUUUGUAGCAUUUUAAAAAAUGACUAUAUCCAGUACAAAAAUAACACGUCAUGAAUGGUUUGGAAACUGCAGAGAGCAAACAUGGAUUUUCACCUCUCUCUCCAUAUACUACUUCUUUUGAUUUAAAAAAAAUUGAAAAAAAACUUUUCAUAGUGAGGCAGAAUAUGACGGUCAAAAACUCACAGGCUUGGGAGUCAUACCAAUCUAUGUUCAUUUAGUGACAGUGUGGACUUUGGGCAAAUCACCUGACCUGACCGACCUUCAGUUUCUUCAGCAGUCAAAGAGAAAUCAACAUCUGCCUCAUAGAAAUAUAAAUGUAGCAUCAAAUGAGACAAUAUUUGUAAAUCAGCUAGUAUAAUGCCUAAAACAUUAUAGGUGUUCAAUGAAUGAUGGCAACCAUCAUUAUUAUUGUUACUUUUUCUCCUUUUUUCAUCUUAUAUAUGCCAUACACACACAUAUAUGGUUCAACUAAACUGAAUUAAGUUUCACUGUGAAAAACCAAUACAUUUAAUAUUUUUCUUGUUGGAAGCUGGCACAGUGGCUCAUUGUAAAUCCUAGCACUUUGGGAGGCCAAGGUGGGAGGAUCACUUGAGGCAGGUGUUUUGAGACCAGCCCACACAACAUAGUGACACCCUGUCUCAAUUCUUACAAAAAAAAAAAAGGAGAAAUUAUAUGUAUACACACACACAUACAUUACAUAUAUACAAAUUUGUAUAUAUAAAUACGUAUAUAUUUGUAUAUAUAAAUAUAUAUAUAUGUAUUUUCUUUUCCUUGUUAGAAAAAUACUGUAUUGUCUUUUGGUCUGAUGGUGAUAGGCUGAGAUAAAAUUUAAUUAACAUUAAAUUCAUCAAAAAUUUAUCUCUUAAAAAAGCACAAUAUAGAGAUAUUAUAUUGUGACAGAAUUUCUUACCCUAGAAAUAAUUUUUCAAAUCUCAAAUAUUAAAUAUUAGUGUUGACUCAUGGAUAUAUGUUAAAAAUAUGUCCUCAAUCUCUAUUUUUAUUAUAAUUUUCUCAGUUACACAAGUUUUUGUAUAUUGGAAACGUCAGUUGUCAACAUUAAAUACAUAAAAAUGCCCUAUAUAAAAAAUAAUUAACAGCUAUUCCUAGAGUGGUAAAAUGUAGCCCAACUAAAAAAAACAAAGUAUUUGUAAUUAGUUGAAAUGUCUUUUACCUUUAAAUUCUUUAACCUGUUAUUCGUUGAAGGUUACUGAUUUUUCUUAUUUUAAAUAGAAAUAAGAAUAUUUUCUUAUUUUAAAUAAAAAGCAAUUAUUUUGAAAUUAUACCCUUAAUAGGGUAUAAAGUUUCUUUAAUAAGAAACUUUCCUUUAAAGUGUUAUAACCUUUUAAUGGUUGAAAGUUAUUUGUUUUUCUUAUUUUAAAUAAACAGUAAUUAUGUUGAAAUCAUAUCCUAUCAAAGAAACAACAUGUUUACAAGUAAAUACAUGUAUAAGCAUUAAAUGCUAGCAGGGGUCUCCAAUCUUUUGGCUUCCCUGGGCCACACUGGAAGAACCAUCUUGGGCCACACAUAAAAUACACGAACACUAAU
rnacentral:lncRNA from 10 species